UACGUAGGGUGCAAGCGUUGUCCGGAAUUAUUGGGCGUAAAGAGCUCGUAGGCGGUUUGUCGCGUCGGAUGUGAAACCCCGGGGCUUAACCCCGGGCCUGCAUUCGAUACGGGCUGACUAGAGUUCGGCAGGGGAGACUGGAAUUCCUGGUGUAGCGGUGAAAUGCGCAGAUAUCAGGAGGAACACCGGUGGCGAAGGCGGGUCUCUGGGCCGAUACUGACGCUGAGGAGCGAAAGCGUGGGGAGCAAACAGG
rnacentral:rRNA from 1 species